AAAGGCUUACACUGCAGUGUUUGUGCCCAGGAUGCCAAGAGCCUGUUCACCCAGGAGAGGGCUGCGCGCGGGGACAGCCGUGUAAACGCACAGCUGCUGGUGGCUCAGGGUGCGGGUGGAGGCCCUGGAGAGGGAGGGUCCCAGGAGGCUCCCGGACUCCUCAGCCUUUGGGGGCGGGGGGAGCUCAGGUGAGGCUUUCUCGGGCUACGUGCACCAGCCCCCUACCCUCCUCCCAGACUUGCCGGGUGGGGAGCCCGGUGGCUCAGUGCUCCGGGACACGGCAGGCUGCAUGUCACCACAUGGGACCGGAGUGGCCACAGGAGGAGCUCGGAGACCCCAGACCCAAAGCUCCCAGCAUCAGAGCAGAGCGCCCGAGACAGGAGGUGCUACGGGGAAGGACACCAUCUGAGAGUGGAAGCUUUAUUGUUCAACCUCACAAAGACAGAGGACAGAGGGCUGGACACGGAGGCUGAAGGAGGCUUGUGCACGUGAGCGUGGCAGUCCUGCUCCAAGGGGCAAACCUUCUGGCUGCUGUCCAUCUGUCCGUCCUUCCAGCUGUGCCCAGCGGCCACACCUACCUGGCCCAAGGCAUGACGGCCAGGCCACCCUGGGCUGCAGGUCCACCCAAGAGCCUUUAACAAAGGACGGUUUACAUUGCUGUAGGUCGUUUUGGAACUUAAAUUAGUUUUCUAGAUAUUAAAACCACUUGGAUUUUAUAAGUACCUGGUGAGGUCCUCAGGUAAAUUAAAGGGCUUUUGGAAAAAUUCCCAUGUCUGAUCUUGCCUAAUAUCUGACAGAUGCCAUCAAGAAUAAGCAUUAGGUACAAAAAUACUAUAUAUAUGUAUAUAUAAAACGGCAACAAAACUAAACCACACUUCUAAAGCAGAUGUGCUGUGCCAGAGAACACUACAUAGUUCAAGUUAAAUGCAUUUAUGAUCCUAGCAUCACCUCCCAUUCUUUAAGGAAAAAAAUAUUUUAAAUAAUUUAAAUAAAAGUCACAGGAUGAUAUUUACUGUUUAGGAAUUUAAGAGGGUGGAACAUUCCAACACUUUACCAGCACAUCUGGUUGUGGUCUCAUGAAUGUCCUUCCCUGAAGCCAGCUCACGGUCCGUUCAUUUGGUUUCGAAAGGAGCUUGGAUUUCUCAGAAGACCAACAAAAAAAGUGUGGCCACUAAGGACGGAAGCCGCAGAUGUCCACGCUGCACGUGCCAGCUCGAGGGCGUAGCGUCUUCGGAUUUCAGAGCAUGGCAGCGAGUGCGCUGCGCCUGCGGGCCCGGGCGCCUGAAGGCUGUACAGCUGAACGUGAACUUAGACACACGGGGACUGUGCUGGGACAACCGAAAUCUGCGGGGGACGCCAGCUCGGGGAAGAGCAGCCUGCUGGAGUACCUGCACGCGCAGAGGCUCACACAGCUGUACGAAGACCUGCCCUUGACACCUGGAGACGUGCGUACGCUAACUCGGGCGCCUGUCCCCUUGCCCGGAGCAGGGCGCCGCAUCUCCCCACAUCCCAAGGCUUCGCUCUGAGCCAGAAAGAGGGUGCCAAAAGGGAAGCUCUAGGGGGGCAGCUGUGCCAGAACCAGUCGGGAGCCCAGUGCCUGCCCGGGCCGUGGGCUCUGGGCUCAGGGGAGGGCUGGGGGGAGGGAAGGGACCUCCCAGGGACCGGAAGCCAUUCUCCCACCCUUCCUGGCCAGCUCACACGUGCCCCUGGGCUGACCUUCUCUGCAGGUGGUUUCAGAGCCGCGGGCCGGGGUGCGCUGCCCUUCUCUCUCCCUACCUCGCUGGGCCCUUUUCCCGUCCCCCAGCACUGGGGUCUCAGGAGUUUCAUGCCAUGCUACACGCAAGGCCCCACCAGACUCCUGGAGCAGCAGGUCGGGCCCAGCAGCCGGAGUCAGGUCAGAAUAUUGAAAACCAAAACUUACUUGGGAAUGAUUUUUGGCCUCCAUUCUCUGAAAACUGGCCAUAACCCUGCCUCGUGCCCUCUCCCUGCGGAGGCACAGGUGGAUCAGAACUUAAAAUACAUUGCAGAGACACGGGGCAUAGAAGACCGCCCAAGUCGCUUCUGUGUCAGCUCAAGGGACAGAACCAGUGGGGCACGGGAGACCCAUAUUCAUUUACAAAGUUUAAAUCUGUUUUGGAACUUGACUCUUUCCUGAAAAAAAUUUUAAAAUAAUCUCCCAAAUCUCAAGUUUGGAAGUUCAUCCCGCUAGUUCUGGUCUCUUUCAUAUGCAAAAGUAAUUCAUUUUCUUCAAGUACAACAGAAUAAAAAAGGAAAUCCGAUUUGACUCAGUCCAGUGCGUUAACCUCUAACUGCGUGGACCGCCCCAUCAGCACCUACCACAGAAGCCCCACUUCCAGAGCCCUGCCGGCCUGCAGCCCUAUGCGCAUGUGCACCUGCGGCCCGCGAGGACAGUCUUUGCUGACGCUUUCUAGAUAAGGAGGCUGUUGGCUUAAAUAAACAAGAUGUUCCAUUAGACAGAUUUCUCUAUUUAUAGCUUAUCUAAAAUGUAAUCAGUGAUGUCGUCUAGUUCUCAACAAGGCUUUAAAAAAAAAUGGUCCCUUGGUGUAUAGAUUUCUUGACUGUUUCUGGAAGA